rnacentral:siRNA from 1 species
AGUCGUUUUUUCCUGAUUUCUGC